rnacentral:SRP_RNA from 1 species
ACCGGGUGCAGUGGCGUGUGCCGGUAAUCUCAGCUUUCUGUGAUUUUGAGGCAGUAGGAUUGCCUGAGUCCAGGAGUUCUGUUCACUACUGAGCUAUGUCGAUCUGGUGUCAGCAUCAAUAUGGAGACUCUGAGGGCACUUGGAGCCACCAGGUUGGUCUAAGGAGGGGAAAACUGACCCAGGCUGGACACAGAACAGGUAAAAUCCCCUGUGUUGAUUAGUAGUGGGAUAGCACUUGUGAAUAGUGAGUGUUGCACAGCCUGAACAAAACAGUAAGACUCUGUCUCUC